GAUGAAGAACGCAGCGAAAUGCGAUACGUAGUGUGAAUUGCAGAAUUCAGUGAAUCAUCGAAUCUUUGAACGCACAUUGCACCACUCGGUAUUCCGGGAGGUAUGCCUGUUCGAGCGUCAUUUGUACCCUCAAGCUCUGCUUGGUGUUGGGUGUUUGUUCCGCCUCUGUGUGUGAACUCGCCUCAAAACAAUUGGCAGCCGGCGUACUUGUUUCGGAGCGCAGCACAUUUUGCGAUCCAGAUCAACGUACAGCGGCAUCCAAGAAGCCUUAUUUAACGCUCUUGACCUCGGAUCAGGUAGGGAUACCCGCUGAACUUAAGCAUAUCAAUAAGCGGAGGA
rnacentral:misc_RNA from 1 species